rnacentral:rRNA from 1 species
AUUGAACGCUGGCGGAAUGCUUUACACAUGCAAGUCGAACGGCAGCACGGACUUCGGUCUGGUGGCGAGUGGCGAACGGGUGAGUAAUGUAUCGGAACGUGCCCAGUCGUGGGGGAUAACGUAGUGAAAAUUACGCUAAUACCGCAUACGAUCUAUGGAUGAAAGCGGGGGAUCGCAAGACCUCGCGCGAUUGGAGCGGCCGAUAUCAGAUUAGGUAGUUGGUGGGGUAAAGGCCCACCAAGCCAACGAUCUGUAGCUGGUCUGAGAGGACGACCAGCAACACUGGAACUGAGACAAGGUCCAGACUCCUACGGGAGGAAGCAGUGGGGAAUUUUGGACAAUGGGCGAAAGCCUGAUCCAGCCAUUCCGCGUGCAGGAUGAAGGCCCUCGGGUUGUAAACUGCUUUUGUACAGAACGGAAAGGUUUCUACUAAUACUAGGAGCUCAUGACGGUACUGUAAGAAUAAGCACCGGCUAACUACGUGCCAGCCGCCGCAGUAA